GACGGGGGGGGCAAGUGUUCUUCGGAAUGACUGGGCGUAAAAGGGCACGGUAGGCGGUGAAUCGGGUUGAAAGUGAAAGUCGCCAAAAAGUGGCGGAAUGCUCUCGAAACCAAUUCACUUGAGUGAGACAGAGGAGAGUGGAAUUUCGUGUGUAGGGGUGAAAUCCGUAAAUAUACGAAGGAACGCCAAAAGCGAAGGCAGCUCUCUGGGUCCCUACCGACGCUGGGGUGCGAAAGCAUGGGGAGCGAACAGG
rnacentral:rRNA from 1 species